UCCACUCACACUCUUUUCCCCAUAGGAAUGCGUAAGCUUGACCGCCUGGGGUUUGCUGAGAAAUAAUUAAGAAGAAAAUCUUUGCCUCAACACAACUGCUCAGCUACUGUUAGAUUAUAUUCUUUUAUUUAGGGGAAAAUGUGCCUGCAAACUGGUCUCUAUGUUGGCACGGGGAAAAGGCAGGAAACAAUAACUUAGAACCAAUGAUUAUUUUUAAUUGGACUAUAAGAUUACUCAUCUCUUAAGCUUUGAAGUCUCCGGCCUGGCCGCCCCUUCUCCAUCAGACUCAGCUGCCGGCCAGUUGGCACUGCUCAUCCCAGCUCAGCAUCACUGCAAAGGGCAAUCCUCAUGAAAGGGUCGACCUAAAACCACCAGCAACUACUCGUGGCCUGAUGAAGUCAGGUAUAUGAGAGGUCACCCAGAAGAUGAAAUACAGGUCACCUCACCAAACAAAGGAGAGCCCAGAGUCGCUAUGGAGUUCUGU